rnacentral:ribozyme from 1 species
GUUUUUUUUUUUUUUUUUUUUUUUUUUUUUUUUUCUCCAACUCUAUAGCACU